UACGUAGGGUGCAAGCGUUGUCCGGAAUUAUUGGGCGUAAAGAGCUCGUAGGCGGCUCGGUAAGUGAGGUGUGAAAACUCCAGGCUCAACCUGGAGACGCCACCUCAUACUGCCGUGGCUAGAGUCCGGUAGGGGAGCAUGGAAUUCCUGGUGUAGCGGUGAAAUGCGCAGAUAUCAGGAGGAACACCGAUGGCGAAGGCAGGUCUCUGGGCCACUACUGACGCUGAGAAGCGAAAGCGUGGGGAGCGAACAGG
rnacentral:rRNA from 1 species